rnacentral:lncRNA from 1 species
CUAGGAAAUGCUUUAAACUCAUUUCUUAGAUAAUUAUGUUAUACUGGAAAAUACUAACUGGGAUGUAAAAUCUGAUUGAGGGAGUUCACCACAAGGAUGAGAAAACCGCCAACUAUAAGUGUGGAAUGGAGUCUGAUGUCAACCAUACCAAUGGAUACAUGUCUCUCAAAUGGACAUUUAUUGUCAUGGGUACCAAAACACUUAUUUGAAUUGCUAAGGUUCUUCAAGUAAGGAACUGAUGGAUAGGAGGCAUGUGGGGUUCUGAAUUCCAACAACUGAGUAUCUCUUUGGGCAACCUUCUGAGUGGAAAGUAUAUGAUCUGAAAUGGAUAUUUUCCCAGAGGAACCAUGAAAUAGCUGCCAUUCAGGCAACAUUCAUCACUUUCUGGACCUUCUGCCUCUUCGGAGUCAUCAUCUCAUGACCUUGAUGGGGACACUAGCACCAUCACCCUAAGUGUCUGUACUCUAAUGUUGCAUCAAACCAGGAGACAAUAGUGGGAAACCCUCAUAUCUACCAUUCUAAAUGGAUUGAUAGUUUUCUGAGCUUAAUUUUUAAAUUGUUAAUCAUAGGUACAAAGAAAUGACUGCUUUUCCUAUGAAUGUUGCUUUUUAUCCUGUAACUUUGCUGAACUUAUAAA